UUGAACGCUGGCGGCAUGCCUUACACAUGCAAGUCGAACGGUAGAGUAGCAAUACUUGAGAGUGGCGAACGGGUGAGUAAUAUAUCGGAACGUGCCCAGUCGUGGGGGAUAACGUAGAGAAAUUUACGCUAAUACCGCAUACGAUCUAAGGAUGAAAGCGGGGGAUUCGCAAGAACCUCGCGCGAUUGGAGCGGCUGAUAUCAGAUUAGGUAGUUGGUGAGGUAAAGGCUCACCAAGCCGACGAUCUGUAGCUGGUCUGAGAGGACGACCAGCCACACUGGGACUGAGACACGGCCCAGACUCCUACGGGAGGCAGCAGUGGGAAUUUUGGACAAUGGGCGCAAGCCUGAUCCAGCAAUGCCGCGUGCAGGAUGAAGGCCUUCGGGUUGUAAACUGCUUUGUACGGAACGAAACGGUGAGCUCUAAUACAGUUUGCUAAUGACGGUACCGUAAGAAUAAGCACCGGCUAACUACGUG
rnacentral:rRNA from 1 species